UCUCUCUUUCUCCCUCUCUCUCUCUCGCUAAGUUAUCUCUCUCUCUUGCACUCGUGCUCUCUCUAUCUCCAUCUCUCUCACACACGAUUGGACAUCAGCGAUUCUCUCUGUCUCUCACGGUCUCUCUCUCAGAUACAUCCGCAGCAUUUGAUUCACAGUCUAAGUACUGAGGAACUCUAAAGGACAGCUUCAAUUUGCCAAGGAGGUAAGGUAUGUAAUGAGAAGUGUAUUUGGUGACCCAAAUAAAGCUCCACCCCCACUGGAGAAGCUUAGUCCUGAAGCAGUAGUUUCAGUCCUAUGGAAAGGGGAAGGAUCACUUGUUGAAGAGUUAGUCCAGUGCAUGGCUCCUCAUAUUGGAAGAGGGCUUGCUGAAUGACUUAAAAGAGAGAUUCGAGAGCAUGGCCCUUCUGGAUCUGUAGAUUUCCGGAGAGAACUGCAGAAAUCUUUAUUAUGGAACUUACGUUCUUAUAAUUACUUCUCGUAAGGAAGUUGGCAGCUAUCUUGGUUUUUCCAUUUUCCAGGUGAUGUCUAUGAGGUUUCUAUCGUGCAAUGAUGCUUUGUAGCUUUCAACUGCUCAAGAAGUAGGGGUUUCUUUUGCCAAUUUCCCUGGAACUAGAAUCUACAAGUUUUCCUUGUAAAGAUUGAAUUGCAUUUGUUUGGGCUUCAUAUGCUGAGAAUGUGCAUAUAUGAUUUUGAAAUUCCAGAAGGCUGCUGCAAGGGGACCAUUGAAAGUAACAUAUGAAAAAUACUUGCAUCCUGAUCAAAGUAAUGUUGCAGCAAUAGAAGCAAUUGACAGGCUUCCUCCGUGACAUCAAGUCCUAUGGGAGCUCAGAUUAUGACACAAUGCGGUACAAUGUGGACAUGAAAUUCAGGAAGAUGGCAUUAGGCAGGCAGGAGUACAUUAGACUUUCUUUCCCUCGUAAGAAUAUAUGGAUCUUGAGUUUAUAAGAAGAGAGAAUGCGAAGAAAAGAUUCACUUGCCAGAUCAAAUCCGAGCUGCCAAAAGCAAAAGAGUGGAAUGUGUAGCAGUCACAAACUCUUUGGUUCAGACCCUACUGAAUUUUUGUACAAACCAAGAAAUUAUCAAAUUGAAAAUAAGAUGUAUUUGUGAUUCAAAUUGUUUGAAUGGAGAAUGGCUUUUUAAAUUUUA